GCAGAUGUGGCGGAAUGGCAGACGCACUAUCUUGAGGGGGUAGCGGGCAACAGCUCGUAUGGGUUCAAGUCCCAUCAUCUGCACCA
rnacentral:tRNA from 3 species